rnacentral:lncRNA from 10 species
CGUCUCCUGCUCUAGCUUGAGCAGCUUCAGAUAAAGUUCUGGUAUCUGGUUUGAUGCUGCCUACCAGAAAACAUGUCAGUUUCGUCUUUUGUUGUAUCAUCUGCAUAUCCUUUGAGACUGGCAAUGUUUGCUACCAUGGGAAAAUCAAAUGGGAUGGGAGUGUGUGUAUGGUGAGCAGAGUUUAAGCCCCUCAGGGUACACAGGAGUAAAUAAAGAAAACGUUUGUUAAGGGGGAAGGAACGUCAAGCAGCCGUCCUCAGAGAUUUUCUAGCCACCUGGGAUGCCCACUUUAGUGUCCUAUGUACACACCUGGCUUAUAUCCUUCACAGUGGAAAUUUUCUUGGUGUCUACCAGGAUGUGGCCUUCACCUGUGACCAUGAGGCCCAGCUGAGAGCAGCUCAGCUCGGUGCAGCCUUCUGUAAUGGGGAGAGACACAGUCAAAGAAAGAAACAUCCCAGUCGCCCAGCUCCAGUGUCAGCUUCAUGCAGUAGGCCAGCGACUGGAGCCAGAUGUGAGCUGAGCCCAAGCGGACGACCUCGACAGGAUCCCAGAAAGGGUCGUCAUCUCGAGCCACAGGGCCGUGAUCUCCAUCUAGAAAGCGCUGGUAAAGUUCCUGCAUUAGGAAUUUCCUAUUGAUGAACUUGGCUUUUGACCAUAUCCACACCUGGAAACACAGAGGUAGGUCACCAGUAUUUGAUUCAUCUGCUGCUCUCACAAUUCAUCACUCUGAUUUUCCCAGCAUGCUCCCUUCAUUGACUGGGUUUGCGGUACGCAUGACCACAUCCCACUUUCUCCACACCUAGCUUUGCUGACAUCAAGAAUAUCGUAUUAAUUCCUGGACCUGUUACUUCCCCAUUGCUUGAGCCUAGGAAACGAUUUAGAGGAGAUGAUGAAGGGGUUAGAAAACAGAUCCUCUCAGGGGAGAAGGUUUGGGGCUUAUGGUGUCAGAAUGGUCCUCAAAGAUGCCCAUGUGCUAAUCCCCAGAACCUGUGAAUAUAUUACUUUGCAUGGCAAACGGAAAUUAAGGUUUGUCAUCAACUGACCUUAAAAUACGGAGAUUAGCCUGGAGUAUCCAGGUGGCCCCAAUGAAAUCACAAGGGUCUUCAAUAUGGCCGAG